rnacentral:rRNA from 1 species
AUUGAACGCUGGCGGCAGGCCUAACACAUGCAAGUCGAGCGGAUGAAGGGAGCUUGCUCCUGGAUUCAGCGGCGGACGGGUGAGUAAUGCCUAGGAAUCUGCCUGGUAGUGGGGGAUAACGUCCGGAAACGGGCGCUAAUACCGCAUACGUCCUGCGGGAGAAAGUGGGGGAUCUUCGGACCUCACGCUAUCAGAUGAGCCUAGGUCGGAUUAGCUAGUUGGUGGGGUAAAGGCCUACCAAGGCGACGAUCCGUAACUGGUCUGAGAGGAUGAUCAGUCACACUGGAACUGAGACACGGUCCAGACUCCUACGGGAGGCAGCAGUGGGGAAUAUUGGACAGUGGGCGAAAGCCUGAUCCAGCCAUGCCGCGUGUGUGAAGAAGGUCUUCGGAUUGUAAAGCACUUUAAGUUGGGAGGAAGGGCAGUAAGUUAAUACCUUGCUGUUCUGACGUUACCAACAGAAUAAGCACCGGCUAACUUCGUG